rnacentral:rRNA from 1 species
GACGAACCGUGCGAACGUUAUUCGGAAUCAUUGGGCUUAAAGGGCGCGUAGGCCGGCUGCCGCGUCGGGGCUGAAAGCCCCCGGCUUAACCGGGGAAUGGGCCUCGAGACGGGCAGCCUGGAGGCGAGGAGGGGGACCUGGGAACGUCCGGUGGAGCGGUGAAAUGCGUUGAGAUCGGACGGAACUCCGACGGCGAAAAGCAAGGUCCUGGACUCGUACUGACGCUGAGGCGCGAAAGCCAGGGGAGCGAACGGG